rnacentral:rRNA from 1 species
AACGCGAAGAACCUUACCUGGGCUUGAACUACCGGUGGUAAGUACCUGGAAACAGGGACUGACCCGCAAGGGAGCCGGCAGAGGUGCUGCAUGGUUGUCGUCAGCUCGUGUCGUGAGAUGUUGGGUUAAGUCCCGCAACGAGCGCAACCCCUAUCUCAUGUUGCUACUCCCGCAAGGGAGGCACUCUUGAGAAACUGCCUUCGAUAAGAAGGAGGAAGGUGGGGACGACGUCAAAUCCUCAUGGCCCUUAUGUCCAGGGCUACACACGUGCUACAAUGGCCGGUACAACGGGAAGCAAUACCGCAAGGUGGAGCAAAACCCUGAAAGCCGGCCCCAGUUCAGAUUGUGGGCUGCAACUCGCCCACAUGAAGGCGGAAUCGCUAGUAAUCGCGAAUCAGCAGGUCGCGGUGAAUACGUUCCCGGGCCUUGUA